GCUGGGCGUGGUAGCUCACGCUUGUAAUCCCAGCACUUUGGGAGGCUGAGAUGGGUGGAUCGCCUGAGGUCGGGAGUUUGAGACCAACCUGACCAACAUGGUGAAACCCCAUCUCUA
rnacentral:SRP_RNA from 1 species